rnacentral:lncRNA from 1 species
CAACCAGCCAGGAAGAGAGCGGCAUGGGCUCUCGGGAAAUUUCCAUUUUCUCCUCACUUAGCGCUGUUAACCACCAUGCUGGGGGGUUCCUGACUCCGAGAUGCUAUCAGGGCCCCCAUGCAGUUCUCUCUGGACUCUGAGUUGGAGGUGGACAGAAUGCCAAGCUUCUCUGCCCUCCCACAAGGUCUCAGUUGUGAUCAGCUCUCCCCUGGCCUUCCUGGGCCUGGAUCCUGAGUCUAAGCCCUUCUGCUUUCCUUCCUCUGAGCAGCAGCUCCAAGACUCACUGGGAGAUGUCUCUAUCCUGCUGUCUUAGAACCAGUCCCAGCUCUUGGCCCCAACUAGUGUGGGUUAUACCCUGGCCCUUCCUAGUCCUGGUUAUCAUGUUACCUGCCUGAAAACCCAGCCCCUGGAGAACAGGUAGCCUUCCCUCUCUCCGGCAGUUCCCCUCUCCAGGCCCUGCCCUAGUGGCUGGGGCUCGAUCACCUAAAGAGCCUUCGGCUCAGGUCAUGAUCCCCAGGUCUUGGGAUGGAGUCCCUCAUCAGGCUCCUUGCUCAAUGGGGAGCCUGCUUCUCCCUCUGUCUGCUGUUCCCCCUGCUUGUGCUCCCUCGCUCUCUGACAAAUAAAUAAAAUAUUAAAAAAAAAAAACACCUUUUUAUUCAGAACUGCUUCCCGCCCAGGCCCUAUUCUA